rnacentral:rRNA from 1 species
UACGUAGGGGGCAAGCGUUAUCCGGAUUUACUGGGUGUAAAGGGAGCGUAGACGGCUGUGCAAGUCUGAAGUGAAAGGCAUGGGCUCAACCUGUGGACUGCUUUGGAAACUGUGCAGCUAGAGUGUCGGAGAGGCAAGUGGAAUUCCUAGUGUAGCGGUGAAAUGCGUAGAUAUUAGGAGGAACACCAGUGGCGAAGGCGGCUUACUGGACGAUGACUGACGUUGAGGCUCGAAAGCGUGGGGAGCAAACAGG